GCAGUGCAUCAAUGAGAGGGUAUAAAAGGCUGGGCUGAAGAACAAGAAGGGCAGACACAGCCUUUUGGAGUGGAAUGAUGCUGCUCUGUAUGGGCAUGUGCCAGAAGCCUUCUGAUGAGAGAUGAGUGGCAGUAUUGGCCUGGACUUGAAACAAAUUCAUCUCUUAUCUACUACACCCUCCUGUAAGAAGUAAUUAUAUUAUAUUAAAGCAAGGAAUCAGUGAGCCAAAUUUUCAGUGAAAAGAUGAAAUACUUGGUUGAGACACCCUGACUGACAUCUCUAGCCUCUGCCUACCUGCUGUCUUUCAGGACAGGGAGGAGGAGAGGAACUUGCCUCUGUCUGGGGCAGAGUGGAGGAGAGAGACUGAAUUGCCAAGGGUCUGUGCUCUGCUCUGCUGCUGCCUCCUGCUUUUGGGUACUUGAUCUCCGAAGGACUCCCAGUCCACAGCCCCAUUUAGAUCUACAAAGAAUAGAUCUAUAAAGCUUUAAAAAAAGUUCAAUUAUGUAGGGAGAGCCAGUCCUUGCUGCCUACAGGCUAGAUAUUGACAUUAAAUACAGCCCCAGGCAAGUGAAACACUGCUCAUAAAUAGCCUCAGGACCUCAAAACACACCUGCUCAACACAAUCCUUCUCCUGGUUACUUUCUAUUCUGAAGGGCAGUACCUCAGUGUUGCCUGUACCAGUGAUAUAUUACUGCUUUCUGUUGUGUUGUCUGCAGCUAUUUUGCUCCUUUCAGUGAUGGUGAUAUCUGUUCCAUGCCCAUCAAUUCCUAGGUUACAGAACAAAGAAGGGCAUGCAAUGUCCUGCUGAUCCUGGGCUAUUUCAUUAGUUCUUGUGCACACCAGCUGUGCACAGCUGCAGCCCUGGAGUUCAGCAUUUACAGUAAAAUUCUUUAUAAAAAGUACUCAGACAAUAAGAGCAGAAAGAGCUGGGUUUGUUUAAAGCAUCUUGGAGAAGUUUUUCCUCUCAGUAGCACCCACACCUUGGCUUUGUCUAUGACCAGAUGCUUGCACUGGUACUGAAUUAACAGUAUCAAUUUUCUUACUGCAGCCAAGGUAAUAGUGAUCAAGUGACUUAAAUAGGUUUAUAGUCCUGGGUACACUGACUCCUCAUGCUUAAUUUUUAUUCUAGGCAAUUUCUUCAAGGCAUCAAAUACUCAAGAAAAAUCAAUAGUCAAACUCUCAGUGUAGAUGAUUUGAUUUUUUAGGAAUAUACAUGAAUUCGUUAGGUGUAUUUUAAGAAAUUGAUUGAAGAAGUUACUGGGACGUGACUCACUCCCCAGUUCACAAUUAUUGAUGUAGCUAUGGUUGAGGAUAACAUUUUACUUUUAGGACCUAAUAAAAAUUUUAAGGAGUGGAAGGACUAGUAAAAAAUGUGGAGAUACUCUCAAUGCAAAGUAUUCUUUGGGAACAUGAAAUAAAGUUAUAUCUCUAUUAAUACAGAAACUUGCUGCACUUGAAAGGAUCUGUCAUACAACAUUUGGCUUACUUGUUGGGCUCCUCAGUGUUGAGAAUGCCUAGUAAUGUCUGCAGCACACAUGGCUCCAUUCAUGAACUUUGUCCUUAGAGUAAGACUGAUUAGAGACCUAAUUUUACUGAUUAAAUGAGGCUUAAAUAUUUAAAUUGCUCUUCUUUUGCAGAUAAUCCAAACAAUCCAGAUAUUUAUUUUAAAAAGUGUUUUUACCUAUAAUUUAAUUACAAGCAAAAAUUUGUAUUUUGAAAAGUUAGGCAGUUCUUCCCAAAGGGCCCAAUUAAUUUUCAAUUACUAUUUUGCAAAUG